AUCACCUAAGUGACUCACUUUCCCCAAACAUGGUGCUAAGCUUUCCCAAGGCCAGGAUGCUGCUCAUGCUGUUCCACCCCUCCAGGAAUGCCUGAUCCCAGCCCACUGGGCCCUGCUAGUCCUUGCCAGCCCAGCCCAAAUGUCAGCUGCCGCAGAGCUCCCCAGUGCUGCUGGCCCAAGUUCUUACCUCCCCCCUGCCUCUCCCAGCCCGUCUGCCCCGUCUGCCCCCUCGGCCCCUCCCGCGUGCUUGCCUUUCGGUCGCUGCUCCCUGCCCCCCGCUGCAGCCCGCACAGGCUGUGCCCCUCGGCAGCAGCGAGCUCCUUCGCGGUCUGGCUAUUCAGCCACCCACACGCCUCAUAGCGCCUGACACGUGGUGUUGUGCAACGUUCAACAGUGUGUAAAGGCUGCAGAGAAGCCGAUGAUGGGAAUUGAGGAACACCUCUGGAUUGCGCCACUGGUGAUUUUUAAGAGAAUAGAUCCCGCAGCGGGGUAGGGCUACGAAGACCAGAGGCCAAGGGGUAAAGGAGUGGAUGCGGAACAGCUGAGGAGUUUCUGGGCCGUUCUCACAACAAGUUUGGCAGAAUGUGCGAGUCUUUGUGGAUGAAAUGACAAGAUGUCUGGGACGGGCUUGCAAGCACUCCAGCAAACAAGGAAAAAUGGGAGUAAGGGAAAAGAAGAAAGAAGGGAGUAAGAGAAUCUUUGAAUUUUCCAUAAUAGAAAUAGCACAAUAGCAACAAAGCAACAAAAAAGUUUGGAAGGGAGCAAAAAUGCCAUCAUUAGCCAGACCUCUGUAGUUUGAAAUCAGUACGGGAAAACACAAGAUUGAGAUUUCCUUCUUUUUGCUUACCUAUUUUGGUGUAAUUCCUAGGCAAGUUUGCUGGUUCUCAUCUUCUACACGUGUUUCAAGGAGUGCAAGUGACAAAUGACUAACACGCCCACGCCAUGCAUUUAUCUCACUACCUCUAACAUCGUUUUGCAUGCGCUUUGCAUUCAUCAUAAAUUUUUCACUUGAUUCUCAUAAUAACCUUACAAUGUUGGGUGUAGAUAUAUCCACUUGAUAAAUGAAGAAAAGGGGGGUUAAGGGACUUAUUUGCAUGUAACUGACAAAUGGACAAAUACACCGCAGAAACCAGGACCCACACCCGGCUGCCUAGGACCAGCCUCUACCCCAGCACACUCCGUCUGUGCCCUGAUGCACAGGCUCGUCCUGAAAUUAGGGGAGAGAACUGCUUCCCUCCUCUUUUUGCAUCUGCCCUCCCCAGGAGGAGGGCUGUGCCACAGUCAACGUUCAUUCAACAAACAAUGAAAAUGAGUAGGACAGCCCUGUCCCUUGGGAGGCUUGCAGUGUCAUCUCAGGAACAGGGUCACUGUCCUCUGCUGGACCUUUGGCGAGACUAGGAGUUAACGUUCUACUGAGUAGGAACUUUGCAAGGUUGCAAACUGUGUUAAGUCUAUAUUCUGAUUUAUUCUUAUCCUUGACUUUGAAAAAGACGGACAUUCUUAGUUUGUAAUGCCCAACCAGCUUACUUCAGCCCAUCCUCUUGAUCUUAGCUGUGUACUUUCAUAUUUCCAUUUUAAUUUCUGAACAGGGAACCUCAUCGGAGGUGCCCUCUCAAUUCCUGCUCCUGGCUCUGACAUUAUGUAUCUUGGCAGAAAUUCUCAAGUAUACUUCAGGAUUCAGACACAGUAGCUUGAGAACUUGACAUUGAAAUUCAGUAAGAGAUUUGGAGAACUCCAUCAAUACAGCAUCUCCACCUAAAGAAAAUCCCUUUGGUUUCUGUGAUGGAGUUGAAAUUAUAAGAACUAACAUUUAUUGAAAGUCGACUCUAUGCCAAGCAUUAUUCACACGCAUUUAUCUGCUCCCUCCUCACAAGCUUUUGAAGUAAAUACUGCAGUCAUCCCAGUUCCACGGCCGAGAAAGCUGAGGCAGAGGGAGCUGAGUUCCCAGGGCGGAGCCUUGGUGGAUCGAUGAGCCCACCGAGCUCUAUUCCAUCCCACACUGAUACUGAUAACCAUGCUGGAUCCAUACCAGGCCAGGGUUCAUCUCCUUGGGCUUUCUGUGUGAGCCCCGACCAGGGAUCAGAAAUCUGCACUCUGACCCGGCCUUUGCCUUCGUCUUCCUGUCUGUCAUCUGCCUCCCUAUUUGUCACCUUUCCCUUGUCACCAUCCGACAUCUGACGUGGCCAGGCAGCAAGGGGAAGACUGAACCAGCAGCAGCCCAGCGGGCCAGACCUGAGUUGCAUCAGCCCGUCCCUGGACGGUUCCUUCUGCUGGAAAGAAGCCAGCUGUGGUGACAGCAAAGGCUCAGGGUGGGCAUCCUAAAUCGGACAUCUGACCGUGUCACGCUCUGGAAACACCGCCGGUUUCUCGUGGCCAACUGAAUAGAACCCAGAUUCCUCGGUCUGCCUUACGACUUACAGGACCCGCCACCCACUCCCCCACCCGCCUUUGACGCUUUACCCCACCUGCCUGCUCCCCCUGGGACUUGUCCCCGUUCUUCCGUUCUUCCGUUUGUUCCUGCCGUUCUCUGAAGCCCUGCACCCUGGACGUCUUCUCUGCCAAAGCUGCCUCCUGCGACCUUUCCUGGCCGCCUGUGUCCCUCGUCCCUGCUUCCCCAGCACGCUAACCCUCACUCCAUGAAGGUGUCGGUGUGGACUUGAAACAGGGCUGAUGUGCCUCCCUCUUGCCCGCACUCCCCGUACCGAGCAGCGGGUGUGUCUGUAAAAGGGACUUCAGUUUGGAAUGAAAGCGACAUCUCUCCUGCACCUGGUCUCCCACAGCCUCCGGGCCACCUGUCGUGGUGCUGAUGAUGUUUAAGUUGCCUGGUGGGGGCGAGGUGGCUCACGGUCGCUGCUCAGGGUCACUCCCCUUCCCUCUGUUACUGUCCUCCUUUCAGGGGAGGACGAGGAGGUGCAGGGCUCCAUCCUCAUGGAAUUGCGACCCACGGGAUGACAGCCCUGACCAAACACUUGUGACUCCUGAGUAGUCUGGAGGAAGGUAGCAAGUGGAGGAACCGCUUAGCUUUUUCUGCCAAGUGGAGUAGCCGAGCAUCAGAACCCCGGGGGGCUCGGGGCAUCCUGCGUGCGCUCCGGACAAGCCGUGGUUCGCUGUGUCGCCUUCUCACGCCCUCUGGUGGCUGGAGGUUGUGCCCACCCUUACUUGCGCCUUGGUGUUUGUAGCCCCCUGCCCGGUGCAGGUUCUCCGAAGCUACAAACAUCUUACGUGUAGAAAGGAGUGGGCAGAUCCCCACCCGUGUGGUAUGAAGAGCUCGCAUAGCUUGAAAAAGCUAGAAAAGCAAGGUGUGCAAACACUGUCGACCUUCCCGUGGGCAUUUCUCCACGAAGAGUAAGACGGCAAUCCGGCUUCCUCACUGCAUGAGGUGUUUCUCUGAAAUAAACACUGAACUACUUCGCAAAUGAUUAACCGUACCUCAGUCUGCAUGCAACUCUGAUGAAAAUGGAAUUCAGGUAAAUCGUCUAGCACAUGCUGUUGAAUACUGCGAGAGAUCUCCUCGUUUGACAAGGAAGAAACAUGUUCGGCCAGAUUGCGUGUCCUUUACGGACACUAACCUAGGAUGGGAGAGGGAGAAAAGUGGGGUCCAGCCUACUGACCAAGAGCAAAGCAAACCCUGCACAAUGCAGAGCUCACGAGUUUGUGCACUUUCCACACACUUACGCCCCUUUCCUUCCUGAGCGCACAGAUGUCCCAACCAGGCCGGUUUUCCUCCCCGGGACUUGCUGUUGUGGGCGCGCCAGGCCUGACCGGGCUGAGAAGGGAAACUGUAGCUCUGGUUUGGGUUUGACAGAGCAUCGCCAUUGGAACACAAGGUGGCCACGAGUCCUUCCAGAUCGACACAGAGCUCCUUCCAGACUGGAAGGCCCCCUGGGAUACGGUGACCUUGUGCCAGAACCAGGAAAGGAUGGAGCACAUGGGGCAGAUGAGAGCUCCCCGCUUCCAGAAUCCCAGAGACGGAGCUAAUGAACUGGGCCUGGAGAGAAGGCUCAUUUCUCCCCAGCGCCACUGUCACUGCAGGGAGACCCAGCCCACCCACCGAGGACAACCCGCAGUGUGGCCAAAUCUUGGUAACUGAGAGCUGAUACAAGUCAUGGAUGUGUCCCAACAGUCCACGCCACUUCCUCCUGGAAGCCCUCCCCCUCUGCCCUCUACACACACUCAUUGCUUCCGGCUCUGUAAUCUGGAUGGAAUGCUUACGAUAUAUGCAGUUAAUCCAGCGCACAUGGAUCAGGCACUGCUGGGGUCCCCAUGGUGAACAAGACUGACACUGGAGCUGACAGGAGUAUGGGGCACCCACAGACACGUGCAGCCACGGGUUACUGGGGUCCAGUGUUCACAGAAUGCUUCUUUGAGGAGACUGCAUAGGUCAGGAGGACUCAUCGGGGUAGAGCAAAUGGCAGGAGACCGUGCAGAGAGAGUGUGGAAAAGCCCAGGGAAGGGAGAGCUUGGGCAUGUUCCAGGGACAAAGGGACUUCAAAGUAAGAGUCUCAGGGAGAACUGACAGAGUGUGGCUACCCAGCUUUGGGGCUGCAGAGGGCUGGGACCAGAGAAGGGACUCCGUUGCCCGAAACUGGGCUGAGCUUUAUCCCAGGGCCAACAGAAAGCCCUCGGAGGUAGGUAGGCAAAGGGCAUGACAUGAUCUGCAUGUGUUCCAAACAUAUCAUUUUUGGCUUUCUUGGAUAUGUUCUUCAUGCAGCAAGGUCUGCUGCUCCCUGUAAGCUCUUUGUGGGGAUGGCCCAGAGCCCCAGUGGGGCAGCGCUCACCAAACUUGGGAGGUGGAGGUCUGCUGAGGGGCCACUCAGCAUUGCACCUGUAAUCCACCCACAAACUGACUCUAGACAAACUAAGAUCAGCAGGCUUUGCUCCAUUUUUGGCAUAAAUUCCAGCUGAGAAGGCAUGUGGAUGCUUCUAUUGUCUCUUGGAAACCUUAAAGGAUUCCAUUUUCCUCUAAAAAGACUAGAGUUUAAAAAACAUGUUCUCAUAAAUUUUGGAAACAUGCCUGCUCUGCCCAUUGUUUUUUUUUUUUUAACCCAUCUUUCUAUUUUUAAAGAUUCUGUAACAUUUAACAGAUACAAAAUAAUAUGUAUAAGAUAGAGGCAUAAUAAUAAAAUGAACACCACAAACCCAUCACCCGGGCCUAAGAACAGGAAUGUCACUGAGCUCACCAAGAAUGUCACCAAGGUCACAAGAACAAGAGUAUCCCUCCCUGAAUCCAUCCCCCUGCCUCAUCUUUAAUCCUGGGGUAACCAGUCUCCUAAAUUUUCUCUGUAUCAGCUCCUUGUUUUUUUAUUUACAGUUUUGUAACGUGAAGUUUAAUUUUGAAUGAUUUGAACUUCAUAAAAUAUCAUACUCUAUGUUGGCUUUUCUGAGACUUUUUUUGAUUUAGCAUUUCUUCUAAGAGUCAUCCUUACUUUUACAUGUGGCUGACGGACAUCCAUUUUCACCAUGGUAUAAUAUUCCAUCGGGUGAUCUCAUCAUGAUUUACUUAUCCAUUCCCCCAGGAUGGACACAUUUCAGUUGUCACUAGUUUUUGUCUAUUCCAAGCAGUGCUGCUGCGAACAUUCUUCCAGAUGCCCCUUGGCACCAUGGUGCGAGAGCGAGAGCGACCAUAGAGCAUGAACCUAGAAAAAAACUUGCUGCCCCUCCAAAUUAUUUGCUGAGUGGCCGUACCAUUUUCCCUCCUAGCAGAGUUCCCUAGAGGGUUGAUGGAGAUGGGAUGGUAUUGCGGUGCUCAUUUACAGUUACCUGCUUCCUAAGAUGGGAUUGUCAUCUUGCCUUAAGUUUAUUUGUCACUUACUUCUCCUCUGAUAGGUAGUUGUUCGUGACUUUGGCCCAUUUUAUUGUUGGAUGGCAUGACUAUAUCUUACUGAAUUUUUAUUGUUCUCCAAAAUUAUUCCUUUAUUGAUUACAUAUAUUCUAAAAACCAGUGCUCAGCUCGUGAAUAAACUCUCUAUUUUGGGAUAAUAUAGAUUUACAAAGUUGCCAAGAUAGUAUAGAGAAUUACCAUCUACUCUUCACUCAGUUUUCCCUAAUGCUCACAUCUUAUAUUACCAAGGGCAUUUGUCACAACAAAGAAACCAACAUUGGUAUAUGUUACUAUUAAUUUAAGCUCAAGACUUUCUGUGGAUUCCACCAGUUUUUCCAGCAAUGUCUUUUUGCUGUUUCAGGAGCCAGUCCCUGCAGGAUACCACCAUGCGUUUCAUGUAAAUUGCCUUAAUUCCCUUUGUGUUGUCUUUUGGUGAAUGGAGUUCUUAAUUUUAAUGUAGUUGCAUUUUUCAUUUAUAAUUAGUACCUUGGGGAACUUGUUUAAGAAGUUCUUCCUUGUGCCUCUGUCAUGAGGAUGCUUUCCUAUAUUUAGGUUUUCCCUUUCACAUUACAGCCUUUCUUCCACGAGGACUGAACUUUGUGCGUGGUGUCAGAUGGAGAUCCAGUUUCAUUUUUCACCUAUAAAAAUAGCUGCAUAAUGAGACCUUAUAUUGAAUAUGAAAGUCCUUCUGCUUUUUUCUUCUUCAAGAAUUCUUUGUCUCUUCUUGGUUCUUUACCCUUACAUAAAAUUUUAGAUUCAGCUUGCUAAAUUCCUUGAAUAAGCCUGCUGGGAUUUGGAUUGCAAUUGCAUUGAGAUUAUUCAGAGAGAAUUGACAUCCUCACAAUAUUGCAUUUACAAUGUCAAUAUCUGCUAUCCAUGAACUUCAUGUUUUCUACAUUGAUUUUGGUCUUUUAAAAUACAUCUCAAGUCUUCCCUUUUGUGACCACUGUUAAAGCACCAGCAGCCAAAAUGAAGUUCAAUUCCUUUGUGACUUCUGACCGGAAUAAGAACCAAAAAGGGCAUUUCAAUACCAAUUUCCACAUUUGCAGCAAGAGGAUGUCUCCUCUCUGCCCAAAGAGUGGAGGCAGAAGUAGUGUUCAGUCCGUGCCCAUCUAAAAGGAUGAUGACAUUCAGGUUUGGCAAGACACCACGAAGGUCAGCAAAUUGGUAACAUAGUCUGGGUUUACAAGAGCUCCGUCUUCUACACUGAACAGGUGCAGCAGGAGAAGACUAAUGGCACGACUUUCCAUGUGGCAUUCAUCCUCGCAAGGUUGUUAACACUAGACCAAAACUGGACAAAACCCCCCAAAGAUCCCUGAACGUAAAGUCAAAUCUUGUCAAGAGGAAAUGAAAAGAGCGAAUAUAAGCAAGAAACAAUUGAGAAGAUGCAGGGAUAAAGUAAUCCUAAACUUUGAUUAAAAAUUGCUACAAUAAGGGGCGCCUGGUGACUCAGUUGGUUAAGUGUUCAACUCUUGGUUUCGGCUCAGGUCAUGAUUGCGGGGUCGUGAGAUAGAGCCCCAAGACCGGCUCCCUGCUCAGAGGGGAGUCUUCUUCCCCUCUCCCUCUUUGUCUGCCCCUCCCCCCGCUUGCACAUACUCUCUCUCUAUAUAUAAAAUAAAUAAAUCUUUAAAAAGUCGCUAAAAUGAAUAAAUAAAAUAAAUGUCUUGGGCGCCUGGGUGGCUCAGUUGGUUAAGCGACUGCCUUCGGCUCAGGUCAUGAUCCUGGAGUCUCUGGAUUGAGUCCCGCAUCGGGCUCCCUGCUUGGUGGGGAGCCUGCUUCUCCCUCUGACCCUCCCCCCUCUCAUGUGCUCUCUGUCUCUCUCAUUCUCUCUGUCUCAAAUAAAUAAAUAAAAUCUUUAAAAAAAAAUAAAUAUAUGU